UACGUAGGUGGCAAGCGUUGUCCGGAUUUAUUGGGUUUAAAGGGUGCGUAGGCGGCCGAUUAAGUCAGUGCUGAAAUACUCUAGCUUAACUAGAGGGGUGGCAUUGAUACUGAUUGGCUUGAGUGAAGUCGAGGUAGGCGGAAUUGACGGUGUAGCGGUGAAAUGCUUAGAUAUCGUCAAGAACACCGAUAGUGAAGACAGCUUACUAGACUUCAACUGACGCUGAGGCACGAAAGUGUGGGGAUCAAACAGG
rnacentral:rRNA from 1 species